UGUGUCGGUUGUUUUUCAGAUCAGUUUAGAUCCUCCAAUCAAACAAGGGCAGACUCGAUAUCACUUUCUAAUCCUUCUGUUCUCAAAGGAUGAUGACAUCUCACUAACACUUAAUAUGAGCGAGGAUGAAGUGGAGAAGAGGUUUGAAGGAAAAUUGA